ACUUACGGCCAUACCACCCUGAUCAAGUCCAAUCCCGUCUGAUCUCAGAAGCUAAGCAGGGUUGGCCUGGUUAGUACUGGAUGGGAGACCACCUAGGAAGACCAGGUGCUGGAAGUG
rnacentral:rRNA from 1 species